CACGUAGGAGGCGAGCGUUGUCCGGAAUCAUUGGGCGUAAAGAGCGCGCAGGCGGCUUGGCAAGUCGGGUGUGAAAUCCCGGGGCUCAACCCCGUGACUGCAUUCGAUACUGUCAGGCUAGAGGUAGGUAGGGGAGAUCGGAAUUCCUGGUGUAGCGGUGAAAUGCGCAGAUAUCAGGAGGAACACCGGUGGCGAAGGCGGAUCUCUGGGCCAUAACUGACGCUGAGAAGCGAAAGCAUGGGGAGCGAACAGG
rnacentral:rRNA from 1 species